rnacentral:rRNA from 1 species
AGUGGGGAAUAUUGAACAAUGGAGGAAACUCUGAUGCAGCGACGCCGCGUGAGCGAAGAAGGCUUUCGAGUCGUAAAGCUCUGUCCUAAGAGAAGAAGAAGUGACGGUAACUUAGGAGGAAGCCCCGGCUAACUACGUGCCAGCAGCCGCGGUAAUACGUAGGGGGCUAGCGUUGUCCGGAAUUACUGGGCGUAAAGGGUGAGUAGGUGGUCAUUAAAGUCAGAUGUAAAAGGCAAUGGCUCAACCAUUGUAAGCAUUUGAAACUUAAUGACUUGAGUGCAGGAGAGGUAAAUGGAAUUCCUAGUGUAGCGGUGAAAUGCGUAGAUAUUAGGAAGAACACCAGUGGCGAAGGCGAUUUACUGGACUGUAACUGACACUGAGUCACGAAAGCGUGGGGAGCGAACAGGAUUAGAUACCCUGGUAGUCCACGCUGUAAACGAUGAGUGCUAGGUGUCGGCAAGAGAUUGUCGGUGCCGCAGUUAACGCAUUAAGCACUCCGCCUGGGGUGUACGAUCACAAGAUUG